rnacentral:rRNA from 1 species
GAUGAACGCUGGCGGCGUGCCUAAUACAUGCAAGUCGAGCGAACAGACGAGGAGCUUGCUCCUCUGACGUUAGCGGCGGACGGGUGAGUAACACGUGGAUAACCUACCUAUAAGACUGGGAUAACUUCGGGAAACCGGAGCUAAUACCGGAUAAUAUAUUGAACCGCAUGGUUCAAUAGUGAAAGACGGUUUUGCUGUCACUUAUAGAUGGAUCCGCGCCGCAUUAGCUAGUUGGUAAGGUAACGGCUUACCAAGGCAACGAUGCGUAGCCGACCUGAGAGGGUGAUCGGCCACACUGGAACUGAGACACGGUCCAGACUCCUACGGGAGGCAGCAGUAGGGAAUCUUCCGCAAUGGGCGAAAGCCUGACGGAGCAACGCCGCGUGAGUGAUGAAGGUCUUCGGAUUGUAAAACUCUGUUAUUAGGGAAGAACAAAUGUGUAAGUAACUAUGCACGUCUUGACGGUACCUAAUCAGAAAGCCACGGCUAACUACGU